rnacentral:rRNA from 1 species
UACGAAGGGGGCUAGCGUUGUUCGGAAUCACUGGGCGUAAAGCGUGCGCAGGCGGUCUUUUAAGUCAGAUGUGAAAUCCCCGGGCUUAACCUGGGAACUGCGUUUGAAACUGGAAGGCUAGAGUGUGGCAGAGGGGGGUGGAAUUCCGCGUGUAGCAGUGAAAUGCGUAGAGAUGCGGAGGAACACCGAUGGCGAAGGCAGCCCCCUGGGCUGACACUGACGCUCAGGCACGAAAGCGUGGGAGCAAACAGG